GGGAUAACAUUGAAAGAGGAUAUUUUUGUUAGUGUUUGGCCAAGAAAAUAGUAGGUCCGACAAAUCUAACGAAAUGGAGACUGAUAAAGGUUUUUCAUAGUGAUAGAUCAAAAUUCUAAAGUGUAAUUUAUGAUUGACGUCAAAUCGUGACAAGUAUUUUUUGUAAUUUCCUGUUGCUUUAUUAGAGGAUCAACAUAGCCUUUAAUCUCUGGUAUAUGGCAAACCCGAAUGAUGUUGAUCUAAUUUUACAAAAUUUUUUAUUUCUACAGACGUAUAUUUUAGCCUUCUAAAAAACAACGCAAAGAAUUCAUGCAUUUUAAAAACUAGGGCUUAAAAAUUACACUAACCUCUCCUGAGGUCCAGGUUAAUAAGGGAAUUCAUGACAUUAAAUCCGGUCCAUCAUCACAAACUGUCCCAAAACACCAUGCCCAUUGGAAUCCCAAUAACGUUUCGUUUCGAUCGAUUCCUAUAAACCGAACUUUGGAUCAUUUCGAUUGAAUUUCAAUGGAAAGAGAGAAAAUUUUGAUGAUUGUUUAAUUUCCAUGCCAUUGUAUCGUGUUUAUCGUAUUAAUUAGUUAAUUUGGAGUACAUAAACGAUUGGAGAAAAUAAUUUCUCCGUUAAAUUACAAUCCUCAACCCCACCCAUGUAACAAAUUAGUUUACUUAUUGAAUUUGACUCGCAAAACAGUGGAAGACUGAAAAUAAUCGAUUCGUGUGAACUAAACAAGAUCGAAUUUUAAGAGGCAGACAUUUCUGGAGAGAGGCAGGUGGGAAAGCGCUUCAGUCCGUUGCAGUAGUUGUAGCUCAUGUAGUUCUCUGCACCAUGGAGCCUCUCUUGGAUUGUCGAAUCACAAACUCUUCUUGUAGCAUGAAUUAUCGUUAGAACUGAACUACAAAAGAGCUCCGAGGACCCACACGCAAGCGGUGGCAUUGAAGUUUCGGUAGGAGAAGAGUGAAGGGGGAUGAGGGUCCAGUCAGUCUUGACAAGCACCUCUUGUGCCAGUCACUGCAUUCCAAAGAUGGAAUAUAUCCUCAUUGGUUGGUCUUUGGAUACGAAAACAACAAUGGGAUUCCGAGUCUGAUACCUCUUAUUGUGUGCCAUCAACAGAAAAGCUGGAAUGAAUGGAAAAAACUUAUUAACACCAAUUACAAAAAAAAAGAAAGGAAAAUAUAUUCUUUCAAAAAAAUAUAUAAAAAAUUGAAUAUGAUCUGUGACAAACGCUGACAACUACGUAAAUAUACGUGUGGGUGCCAGCGGAUGAAUAGGUGUGGAAAUCGGCAGUGGGUCGAACAAUACGUAAAAUUGCUGCUCCUAUUUGCCCUUGCUUGGCUGACGACAUUGUGUGUGAAGAAUAUAAGGUCGACCACUCAAAUCCCCCAGAAAAUUCAAAGUCUCUCUCAUCAUGUGUUGGUCUUGGGACGGGACAAACUGCAACACAAACCAGGGAAGGAAAGUCAGUUCAUUAGGACUUCCUAGCUCGGAAAAUAGUGAAUUAUUACUCGUCCAUGCCAUAUUGGUUGUUUUUGAUGGAGGGUUCGAGUUUCACUGUGGUAAUUGCAAUUUUCUAAUCAUUAAAAUACUUAAAAAGAAAAGCAAAUAAAAGAAAACUAACAUAGUAUGCGGUGCACAGUGCGGCUGAAUUCCCAGGACAAGCUGAAGCUGCAUAUCGAUCUUCCAAAGAGAUACUCAUUCUUGGAUGUAAAGCCGGAGCAGAGGCCGGUCUAGUGAGAGCUGUGAGAACGCCCCGUUGUUUAGUUAUCUUAGCGCGGCAUCACCCCAAGUGAUGCCAAAUGGUGGUUGGAGGUUACAAGCCACCAAAGAAAACAAUCAACAGAGAACAAAGAGCAGACGUGGGUAUGCAAGCAAGAGAUUCGCCAUAUUGGAAUUCAGAAAGGCAAAUAGCAAGUUAGUUGUUCGUUAGGAUUUUAAACCUGUUUGUGGGUUGCGGGAGUUUGGAGAGCCUGGUGGGUAUUUAUAAUGGGAGAGAGAUCUGGGAAUACAAGCAGCUAAUAUACGAAAGAUCAAAGGAAAAGGUUCUGUUUUGAAAUUAUUAACUUGUGGGGGGCUGAAAAUGAUGAAAAAGUGGCAGAGGCGCUCAACUUUUUAGCUGUACACAGAUGGCGGAACAAUUGUGGGUUAUUCUGGGAAUAUGGAAGUGGCAAGCCAUACAUGAAGUCAACACGCAUGUUGCUCCUUUAGUUAUUAAAAUAAAAAAAUAAAUAUAAUUUUUUUUACAAAAAGAGUUAUACAUAAAACAGUGUUAGAAGUAUUUGAUAAAUAAAAGUUAUUUUUAUAAAUAUUUUAUUAAAAAUUGAAUGACCGCAUUCAUGUACAUUCUUCUUAUAAAAAAAAAUUGAAUAGGAACCUGUGUUCGCAAAGUCCGAAAAAACAAGAUGUUGGGGCCCAAAUAGUAGAGAGGUUGAUUUAUUAUUUUCUUUUGAGAAUGAGAGAUUGAGUAUCACAGGAAAACUUAUGUAAUUCAUGCUUCAACGCAACAUGAAGCAGUCAAAAGGUUUGGUGCCCAUGCAGCUGGAAAUAGUUGCAUCAUGGGACGGGUUUUAUUUGUAACUCAUCACUUUAUAAUGCAAAUGACAGUCAGGACAAUACCUUCCCAGUGAUCUGCGACACAUAAUGCUUUCAAAUGGAGUCAAUAGUUAUAACAAAAUUUGUUCCUCUAUACGAACUAUACUGCCACCGGCUUUUAGGCAUAAGUUGGCAGGCACGGCUUUGAGCUUUUAUUUUGGUUUUCAAAAUAGGAACCAUCUAAUAUUUCGUUUGGAGGUUAAAAUUACUAUGGCAUAAUCACAAAGUUUCUAUGUACAUUAGUAAUUAAUUGACAAAUUAUAAUUAAAUUAUAUGAAGAAAAAUAAUGAAAUCUAUCUAAUUACAAAUGAAUAUGUCAUGGGUACUGGAUUUAUAUAAACUUCACUGUUUACAUGCACGUGUAUGUGAACUACUAUAGCAAUACAGAGAGAAGAGAGAAAGGAAGAAUAUGCCAUAUUGCUAAUUAUCACUUGAAUGUAGAGUUAUACCUAAUACAAAACGAAUGAAAAAUAAAUUAAUUAUAACAACCAAAAACUAAUAAUACGUAAACAAACUCAAAAUUAAUAUUAAAUAACACAACACUAAAAACACUACCGCCACCCCUCAAACUCAUGAUGCGAAGAAACAAAGGGCAAGAGACAAAAGAUGUGUUAGACUAAGUGGUAAUCAAUCCGAUGUACUUCAUUCGCUCAUGAAAAGACAAAUUGUAUUAAUAUGGAUGGCACUUGGUUAUCACAAUAACUUAGGAUAGGAAGAAGUGAUCGAAAAUAUUACAUGCAACUAAUAGCCAACGCGCAAAGCCGAACAACCUCAGUAAGUAGCAUGAGCCAAGCAACAAUACUAGCUUGGUCUCGGCAAUGAGAGAGCAACCACAAAUUAUUUAUAUGUUUUCAGGAUAUUAGAGAAUCACUAAGAAAAAACGCAAAAACUAGAGGUUGACUGCAGGCUGAGAUGCACCUGGCCUAAUCCAGCAUUCCAUAUCAGCACGGAGGCAGGUCGGAUGUAGAAGGAAGUAAUAGACAAUGGAAGCAUAGUGCCCUGAAAACAUACCGAAGGUACGUACAACGCCGCCCAAUGAGUAAAACGAGGAGCAGAGACCAAAAUGACUGACCACAUACAUCAUAUGUAAUGUCAAGGCGAGUCAUAGUCAGGCAAACUACAUACCAACAAGUUCUUGAUACACAGUGGGAUCAUCUGUUGGGAUUUAUCAUGCCAUAGUUCAAAUAGUAGACUGUUACUUAUAAUGAGAAGUCAUUUAUUAUACAAUUGGUGUUGUUAUUUUUAUUAUGAGAUGAUAUAUUCUAAGUCUCUAUAGAUACAAAUAUAUGUAUGAAAAUGAGUUUACACACAUGAGAUAUUAAUCGUUGAUUCUGUUAACUUUAUUUAGUUCGUAGUCGGUAAUGAGUUGGAUGUUCAUCGACAAAGAUCUAAUUUACUCUAACAACCUAUAUAAUCGGAUAAUUAUCUAAACCAUUAAAGUAGGUUGACUCUGGAUUAGAGUAUUGUGUAGUGGAAUAGUUUGAAUGGAUCGCAUACGAGUAUAUCCUAUCAAGAUGUCAUUUUAUGAUAAAAAUCUUACAUUUAUUAUUGAUUAAUGACUAAUCCUGAAAGAAUAGUGAACUAAAGUUAUUGACAUGCUCACUUUGAUUUGCCAAUGAGUGAGGUUCAUUGCGGCCAAUACCUCGGAUUUUUGGGUGGUCACUGUUAGGACCGUUGGGAAACACAAUUCAAGAUGAAAGCUCAUUUCUUCUAGGAGAGAGAGUGUAUCACUAUGAGUUCAUUCAUUCAUUUAUUAAUGAAAUUCGAAUUCCGGUCUUUUCGGUAAAGUAUUUAUCGAAAUAAAAAUUUAUUAUUUUGGUGACUAAAAUUAAAAAAUGAAUAUAAACCAUAGGAGUUCAAAAAAUUACGAUUUGCGUUAACAAUUAUUUUAUCCAAAUCUUAAGUAUUGGACCCAAGAAGAGGGGUUUAAUGCGGUGUUAAAUAGUGAUGGGGAGUAUUUUUGUCCGAUGAUUUUGGACUCCAAUUAAAAUUAUUUAAUAAAGUGAAUUUAUAUAAUUAAAUUAUUAAAAUUAGUAUGAGAAAACUAGAUAAUUUAGUAGUUGAAUUAGACCCAACUAAGACUUCUUAUGAUCCUUUUCUUACCCUGUUGGAGACAUAGUCAUAUAUAUAUAUAUGAGAGCCAACUCAGUAGUAGCAUGAGUCAUAGCAUAAUACUCCGGUCUCGCAAUGGAGAGAGCAACCACAAUUAUUUCUUGCUUUUUCAGGAUAUUAGAGAUCCCACAAAAACGAAAGGUUGACUUGCAGUUUGAGAUGCAACCUGCCCAAUAGCAUCAAACAUUAGCAUGGAGAGUCAGAUCGGAUGUAGAAGGAAGUAAUAGAUAUUGGAAGAUAGUGCCCCAAAUAUACAUCAAAGGAUAGUAACAACGCCGCCCAAUGAGUAAAAAAGAGGAGCAGAGACAAACUGACUAACCACUGCAGAAUAUGUAAUGUUAAGUCGGUCAUAGGCUCCAUUUGGAACAACUUAUUUGAGCUUUUUGGCUGGCUUUUUUGCUUAAAAUAUGUAAAAAAAAAAAACAGUCAGAGUUGGACUUUUUUGCGUUUUUGUUUUUGCUUAUUAGCUUAUUUUAUGUAAAAAACACCAAAAAAGCAAAAAUCCAAAAAAUCUUAUUUUUUUCAAUAGUAAGCUAAAAAAAAGCUUGGUUACUAAAUGGAGUCAUAAUAGGUAAACUAAGCAACAACAAUUCUUGAUACACAUGAGGUCAUAUGUUAGCGAUUUGGAUCGGAGUAUUAUUAUAAUGAGAAUUUUAUUUAUCAUUACAUGGGAUGUUGUUCUUUAUAUCAUGAGUGACAUGUCUCGAAGUUCUCUAAGAUAUAAUAUAUUUAUGAAAAUGAAGAUUUACACAAUGAGAUAUUAAUCGUUGAUCAUAGGAACUUUAUUUAGUUCUUAGUUGGUGAUGAGUUUUGAUGUUCAUCUGUGAAGAUUAUAAAUACUCUUACAAACCUUUUAUAUAGCAUAAUUUAUUUCAACUAUCAGAGUAGUUGACUCUAAAUAAAGGACUGGGUAUUAAAAUACAUUGAAAUGAAUAGCCAUAGAAGUAUAUCUAUAAAUAUGUCAUUUUAUGAUGAAAAUCUUACAUUCGUUAUUGAUAAUUGACUCUUCGUUCUGAGAGAAUGGUGAACUCAAGUUAUGAACAUAUUACUUUGAUUACCCAAUGAGUGAGGCCUCAUGGUCAACACCUCGGUAUUUUGGUUGGUCACUGUGAGGUCUAUGGGAACACUUAAUCUCAUGAUAGAAUCUACUCCUUCUAGGAGAGAAGAUCUAUCAACUUAGAGGUAAUUUCAUUCAUUUAGUAUUGAAAUUCGAUUUCGGUUUUGGUAAAUUAUUUAUCGAAAAAGAUGAUUAUUUUGGUGACUAAAAUGAGAAAUGAAUUAUAAAAUUCAUAGAGUUGAAAAUAAUACGAUUUGGUUAACAGUUAUUUUAUACAAAUCUUAAUUAUUGGUAUUAAGAAGAGGGGUUUUAAUUGCGGUGUUAAAUAGUGAUGGGGGGGGGGGGGGGGGGGGGGGGGGCGGGGGGGGUUUUGGGGGGGGGGCGGAGUAUGUUGUCCUAUUAUUGUGGAAUCCAAUUCCAAAUAUAAUAAAGAAUUUAAGUAAAUUAAAUUAUUAAAUAGUUAUGAGAUAACUAGAUAAUUUAGUAGUUUAAUUAGACCCAACUAAGACUCUUAUGAUCCUUUUCCUACCCUAGUUGGGACCUAGUCAUAUGUAUAUAUAUAAUAUAUAUAUAUAUAUAAUAUAUGGAACUAGGUCGCCAACUAGGGUAAGGAAAAAAGGAUCAUAUAUAUUUAUAUAUAUAUAUGAGGUUGUCAAUCUUAUAAUUCAAUUCUAUUCUUACAUAAUUAUGAAAAAAAAUAUGAGAGCCCACACUUAGAAUAAUUGGAAAGGGCGAGGAAAAAAAAAUGAGAAAACAUAAAAAGGAGGUUAGAGUGUAGGGGAAAAAAAACUAGCAAGCAACGACUACAGCCAGGAGGCCAGUGCCUAGAAAAACUAGUAGUAGCGGUGCCAAACAGCGGAGGCAAGGACUGCAAAUUGGUACUACAUGAACGCGUAUUGACAACUCGUAUCUUGGUGCCAGUACUAUGUAAGCUCAGGGGUGUGAACGAUGAGCCUCGACACAUACUCAUGUUUAGGUAUAUUAACUUCCAUUGUGCCAGUAGUUAAUGCUUGUUUUUUUUUUUUGAGCUGCAAAGAAAUUAUUAUUAACAAUCGGGAAAAUUUUUACAACGAGAUAAUUAAUAAGGAUUAGGUGAAAAACAACAUGAACCAUUCGAUACAUAUUUCUGCAAGUUUAGCACAUACGCCGUAGCCAAAACUGUGCUACCUUAACCAAAAACCAUAGAAAGUUGGCAAGAUGACAACAAAAAAUAAAGACACCAAGAACACGAAGCAAAUCCCGAGCCCCUAUCUCCACACCUCACAAGGCAGAUUGACCAAACGUAGGCAAACGUCAGACACCUAAACCUCAGAUCCGAAUGCCUUGUAGGUUCCAGGUAAAGUCGUGAUGAGUCGUCCUUAGUUAAAACGCGGAACCUUGACACAAAAGGCAACACGAAAUUGAUUAAACGAAAAAUUUCUCCCUUAACCGCUGGUGUAGCACUGACUGAACAAUCAGAUUGUUCCUCGCUUCCUAUAGACAAAAUCGUCGCAUAGAAUAUCGCUUCCCAAAGCUUUUUUCCAACUACAUCAAUGGUUGGAAAACCAUUUCCACCAUCGAUCAAAGAGGAGAGGGAGGGCAAAAUCCAUUCCAAUCCCCACACUGCAUACAAUUGGACCUAUAUUCCAAGAGAAGCUACAAUGAAGGAGCAAUGAUUUGAGGGGUCUCAGUUCCAAGUUACAUAGUGGGCAUUGUACCAAUACCUAAAUUGACGGGAUACCCUCCUAAGCAAGCAAAUCCCGAGUCGCUCUUUUAUCUGAAUUGCUAGCCAAACGAAACACUUCGAUUCGGAAAGGCCACAUGUUCUCCAUACAAGGAAUGAUAGAUAGCUCCCCAGAUGAAUUUGUCCCAUGACUGCGUUACUUCCCAUUUGGGUAAAAAGAGUUGGGAUGAGAAGACCCAUUUUGAUACCACUUCCAUGACAAGAGUCCUUUUAAUGUGGAGAAAGAAAUUCUUUGCAGCUGUUGUUUUAGUUGAAAUAGCAAUUCUCCUCCUAGACGAACAGUUGCGCCUAAAUUUCCAGAUCCAAUUUUCAAUUCUGACUCAACAAAUUAAGUCCUGAACUUUUGCUGUUUAUUGGUAGAGAGUAAGAAUAAUCUAGGAAUUCCUCCUUCAAUGGUAUGCCACCCACACCAGCAUAUCUUCCAAAAUUGGUCCGAGCCCCCAUCCAUAAGUCGUAUUUGAAAACCUGUUUGAAGAGGUCCAAGACUAUUGGAUCCCCUGCGAGCCAAGCGAGCAAAUGGCACUCCAUAAUGGAGACGGAGAGAGAGAACCAGUAUUAGGAAAGACUAGGAAGCCCAUUGACGCAAGAAUAUCCAUAUCUUUGCAGCUAAACCGUGUACCAUAAAGCAUUUUUUCAGAACCGGAAUCUCCACCACCACUUGGCGAGCGCAAAUUGGGGCUAGCAAGUGUUAUCCCGAGCCCGCCCCCUUCCUUCCCUUCUAAUCACAGUCUCCCAAUCAAAAGGUGGAGUUUGAGAUUUUUCUUUCCCUCACUAUCCCGCCAUAAGAACUGUCUUUGAAUUUCUAAACUCUUGUGAACUGUCAUGGGCAUCUAAAGAGAUACAUAAAGAAAGAUGGCAAGAUUAGAAAGAGUAGAUUUGAUCAGAACUUAUCUCCCACCCUAUUGAAAUAUAGUUCAUCUGCCAUUGACGCCAAUUUGUUGUUCUUGAAUCUAUCCAUGAUCGGGUUCCAAGUCUUAAUCCUUCUAGGUGUGAUCCCAAUGGAAGACCAAGAUAUGUAAGGGAAGUUCCCCAGAUGUACAUUUCAAAAUUCCUUGCAAUUUCGGUCAUUUCUGCUCUGGAAUCUUCCACCCUACAAUCAUACUUUUGAGAAGUUAAUUUUGAGUCGGAGAUCAAUUCAAAAAACCGCAAAAUCCUUUUAAUCGUCACACCUCAUUUCUAUAAUUCUGGCAAAAAAAAUAUAGCGUCGGUCGGCCAAAAUUGGAAGAUGGGAAAUUCUAAAUUCUUACCGUAUUUUACUGGAGAGACACUCCUUUAUAUACAGCUUCGCUUGCUCUUGGGAAUAGAUAUUUAACGCUUCUGCCCGAUGUUAAAAAGAAAUGGAAGAGAGGGGGGUCACUUGUCUUAUGCCCCUCUUGCUUUUAAACUCUUGUUGCAAGACCCGUGGAGGGAGAAAUAGACAUUGACGACGUGGUGGAGAUACAUCAUCGAUCCAUGACACCAUUUAAAACCGCACCCCAACCUCUGUUCAUAUUCUUUAAGGAAAGGCCAGUUCACGCCGUCAUAUUGCUUUGGUGAAAUCAACUUUAAAGAUCAGGACCUUGGUAGCUUGGAACCCUCCAAUAAUGAAUAAGUUCGUUUGACAAUCAAUUACCCAGUUCCAAAAUCUGUCUUCCUCCCAAAAAGGCCGAUUGCGAUUCGCUGAUCACCUGGUAGUACAGAUUUUAAUACGGGUGUCAAACUUUUGCAAGAAUUUUGUUAUAACCAUCCCACCAUACCAAUGGGUCUGGAAAUCUUUUGAAAAAGGAAGCGAUUCCUCCACCUUUGGGAUAAGCGCAAUAAAGGUAGCGUUGAGCCCUUUCACCAUAUAACCAUUCUUGUGGAAUUCAAAGAAAAAUCCAAGCGCAAUCAUGCCUCAGGAAUCUUUCCAUGCCUUCUUGACGAAUCCGCAGGUGAAACCAUCGGGCCCUGGGGCCUUAAAAAGUGCCAGUCUUUAAUGCUCACAAUCUCUUCCUCCGAAAAAAGUUUGCUUAAAGUCAUUCUGUAGGAGGUCUAGGGAGCCGAAAAAGCCAUCCCUCCCAGGUCUUGGUCUUGGCCAAGUCUCUUCAUAAAAAGUUUGGAGAGAAUAAUCGAUUGCCGCAGAUUUAAAAAAAUUUUAAAUUUGGGUCUUCAAGCAUAACCCCAUCAACUUCCCACCGAAUCCGAUGAAGCUUUUCCUAUAUCUGCUAUUGGCAAAAGUUUGGAAAAAUUUUGUGUUUUAUCUCCCAAUUUCAGCCAAUUAAUGCUAGAUUUUUGCCUCCAAAUAGAUUUGAAGCCUUGAAUUCUGCCAAUAAAUUCGGCCUCCCUUCACUUUCUUCUUUGCUGCUCUUUCCUCUUCGUCUAAAUCUCUAGAUUCCUCGAUCAUGUCAAAACGUGGUUGGAUGUGAUUGUGAGAGAUUCCACCUUCAAAUUUAUGUGCCAAAGAUUUCCGGUUCCAUGAUUGGUUUUUGCUUCAGCGUUUUGUAAUUUCCUCAUAAUUCUAAAACCGGCCAUCCUUCCACUACAGUUCUCCAGGACUUUUUAUUAAUUAUAUAGCCCGGAUGAGAUCACCAUGCGUCCAUUAAAACUGAAUAUCUUGGGACCCAGUCCGUUCUUCGUCACAUAGCAUAAUCGGACCGUGGGUAAGAAAUGGCCUAGAAGGACCCCAUUUGCCUAAUUUUGAAUUUGUCGAGCAAUCCUGCGGAAUUAGAAAUCAUCCAUCUGCUGAACUUGCAUCUUUCUUGCAAAUUUGUCCAUGUGAAUAUCCUGCCAAUGAUAGUAGAUUAGUAGUUCUAUGCAUAAUUAAAUUCCACAAAGUUUCUAGGCACCAGGACUUACAGAUGAGUAUCCUCUUCUUUCAUCAAUUGUCUUAACCUCAUUCAUAUCACCGCCCAAAACACCGGGAUCGACAAAAUGAGAUUCAAUAAAAGACAGCUCAAUCCCAUAAUCGUUUCCUUUCUCCAACAUCAUAGGUGCGUGAAGAUUGCCUAUUGAACAUUUGAAAGUCACCCAAAAUAAGUUACCAUUCACAAUAAAUUAAAGUGCUUACUGGACCAUAGUGAUUCCUUCCCUAAAUGUUGCUCUCCAAAAUGAAACAUAAGGCGCCUGGAUGUCCUUCCGCCUCGGAUAUGGCAAACUGGAUCUGUGCACCUUCCACAGAUAUGGAUCAUUCUUUUUCUCUUCUCCAUCUUGAUUUUCUGGAAUUAAUAAAAUCGGGCUUCCAUUUGAGAUAACAUGACACAACCUUUCUUCACCCCGCUUCCCAUGCCCCGAAUAUUCCAACAAUAUGAACUUCAUUAAACAUUUGGUUACACCAUGGUAUCCUCUCUAUUACAACCGCUUUAAAUUGCUGCCUACCCCCAUUAUUGUUGGACGAUCCAUAUUUUCUCCACUUACAUCUGAAUCAACUUGUUGUCGAACCUCAUCCUCAUUACCCCCAAAUUGGAAGCCCUAGUUUCUUUCCCAUUCGAUUGUGGCUCGACCUCCACUACAUAUGCUGGCGCUGCUGUUUUGAUCCGGUCAGAAAAGAGAUGGAUGCUCGUUUGAUUUCUGGGAACUAUAGUCAAUUCCUUCCUCCUCCUAUGUUUGACUUCACUGUUGCUAUAUAUCUCGAUCCUGUUUCUCAUCAUUUUCUUCUCCUUCUUCUUAACACCAUCGGUUCUGCAAAUUUGGGAAUUGGGGAUCGUGUUCUGGCACUAGAUUUUUUAAAAACCUCCCACCUUCUUUAUCUCCUACUGUGGCAAAGGCUCCAUGAUUGGGACACCUUUACUUGAAGGUUAUUAGUAAGGGAAUUAGGUUCUUUUAGAGAAAGGGCAAAGACACCUCGAGCUCAAUACCUGCACCUUCAGACCCGGGCCUAGUUGACUCUGUUUGUUGGCUUAAAAUAUUAAGUGGGCCUGGAUCAUUUUUCGUGUUUGAUCUUAAUACGAAAUCGGGCCCUUCCUCUCUACUAUUACCCGAUUCGGACCCCUUUGAGGGGGGACCUGGGUCUCUUCCACAACUUCAUCAGUAGAACUGCACUCGUAAUACUCUUCCCCUUCUUUUGACUUCCCCAUACGUUUUCUGUACUUCCCAAUGUUGAUUUUAUCUUUGCGCCAUCUCCUGAUACUGUCCACAUGGCAUCUCUCAUGACUUUCAUUGGCCGAGGGAUUUGGCAACCCGUCCAUCGCCUCUUCCUCCUCUGUUUGUUCGUAGUCAGGAGAAAUCAGAGAUCACCGGAAGGUAGACGUUAAUUUUAUUGUUGUUGAAAACGAAUCCUCCCAGUCUGGACCUGUAGUUUUACGGUUCACCUCCAAAUUCAUCCACGAGUCUCUAUGAUAGUUUCUGAUUCCGUGAUGAUCAAAAACUCUUCCUCUACAAAAAGAAGGUACCAAACACAUGGUAUUCCUUUCGACUGUUACUACUUUCCCACAUUUGCACCAAUGGAUUUGAAUGUGUCAGUACACCAAGAGUCAAAGGCAUUUCCGAUACAGUUUCUUUCAACCAACAGUCCUAGAGAAGGAUGCCUGCAUUCCCCACUCCAUGGUUUUCACACUCUCAAACCAUUCCCCCAAAACUUCAUGUUUAGCAUCCCUGCAUAGCUUCUUUGUCGCAAAUGAACAAUCAUGGAACAUGCCCCCCAUGGAUCAACCGUAUAUUCUUGAUUCUUACAUUGCGUAUACCCUAUUUCGAUUGAUUUGGAACAGCAAAGUCCUUGAGUUUGCAGACAACACUCCGUAAAAGCCAACCUGCUCCACCAGCCUUUCCUUUGAUUGUUGGGAUGUCCAUUUUGUGGUUAUGAUUUCCGGUCACUGCCUGUGCAAAUGAUCUUCCUUCUCUUCUACCGCUAGUGUGUAAAAGACGAUAGGAGAUUCUAUUAUCAUUCUGUGGCCCAUUUCGGGUUGCUCUAUCCUGGGAGCUUCUUUUCUGUUGUAUCCGGCCACUUUCACCCCUAAUUGUUUAUUGAAGCACCAUGAUCGAUUAGUUUUUUCCACUGCCGUAUUUGCAGCAAAGGAGCAUUCGUAUCGCACGAAUCCAAAUCUGUUUCCCGAUAUGAUGCUCCUCUUCCU
rnacentral:lncRNA from 1 species